rnacentral:rRNA from 1 species
UCAUUCACAAUGGGCGAAAGCCUGAUGGUGCGACGCCGCGUGAGGGAUGAAGGCCUUCGGGUCGUAAACCUCUGUCACCGGGGAGGAAACGCUGCAUUUUAAUAGAAUGCAGCCUGACUUAACCCGGAGAGGAAGCAGUGGCUAACUCUGUGCCAGCAGCCGCGGUAAUACAGAGACUGCAAGCGUUAUUCGGAUUCACUGGGCGUAAAGGGUGCGCAGGCGGCCGUGUGUGUGAGGCGUGAAAGCCCGGGGCUUAACCCCGGAAUUGCACCUCAAACUACAUGGCUAGAGCAUUGGAGAGGGUAGCAGAAUUCAUGGUGUAGCAGUGAAAUGCGUAGAUAUCAUGAGGAAUACCAGAGGCGAAGGCGGCUACCUGGACAAUUGCUGACGCUCAGGCACGAAAGCGUGGGGAGCAAAAGGG